rnacentral:rRNA from 1 species
UGGGGAAUAUUGGACAAUGGGGGCAACCCUGAUCCAGCAAUGCCGCGUGUGUGAAGAAGGCCUGAGGGUUGUAAAGCACUUUAGGCGGGGAGGAAAGGAUGACUGUAAAUAAUGGUCAUCUGUGACGUUACCCGCAGAAUAAGCACCGGCUAACUCUGUGCCAGCAGCCGCGGUAAUACAGAGGGUGCAAGCGUUAAUCGGAAUUACUGGGCGUAAAGGGUGCGUAGGCGGAUAGUCAAGUCAAUUGUGAAAACCCUGGGCUUAACCGAGGGAUUGCAAGUGAAACUCAUUAUCUAGAGCACAGUAGAGGGAAGUGGAAUUUCCAGUGUAGCGGUGAAAUGCGUAGAUAUUGGAAAGAACAUCAGUGGCGAAGGCGACUUCCUGGACUGAUACUGACGCUGAGGCACGAAAGCAUGGGUAGCGAACAGG